CCUACGGGAGGCAGCAGUAGGGAAUCUUCCACAAUGGGCGAAAGCCUGAUGGAGCAACGCCGCGUGGGUGAAGAAGGUCUUCGGAUCGUAAAACCCUGUUGUUAGAGAAGAAAGUGCGUGAGAGUAACUGUUCACGUUUCGACGGUAUCUAACCAGAAAGCCACGGCUAACUACGUGCCAGCAGCCGCGGUAAUACGUAGGUGGCAAGCGUUAUCCGGAUUUGUUGGGCGUAAAGGGAACGCAGGCGGUCUUUUAAGUCUGAUGUGAAAGCCUUCGGCUUAACCGGAGUAGUGCAUUGGAAACUGGGAGACUUGAGUGCAGAAGAGGAGAGUGGAACUCCAUGUGUAGCGGUGAAAUGCGUAGAUAUAUGGAAGAACACCAGUGGCGAAAGCGGCUCUCUGGUCUGUAACUGACGCUGAGGUUCGAAAGCGUGGGUAGCAAACAGGAUUAGAUACCCGAGUAGUC
rnacentral:rRNA from 1 species